GAAAUGCGAUAAGUAAUGUGAAUUGCAGAAUUCAGUGAAUCAUCCAAUCUGCAAACAUUACAUGCCUGUUUGAGUGUCAUUAAAUUCUCAAUCUCAACAUGCUUGUAAUGUUUGCAGAUUGGAUGGUGGGGGUUAUUGUGGGGUCUUUGACAAGUUCCACUCUCCUGAAAUAUAUUAGCUGGAAUGCCUUUGCAAACCAACUAUCAGUAUGAUAAUUAUCUAUGCUGGAGUUGAUGUGAUAGGGAAUCUGCUUCUUAAUCGUCUUUCACAAAGACAACUUGAACCAUUUUGACCUCAAAUCAGGUAGGACUACCCGCUGAACUUAA
rnacentral:misc_RNA from 1 species